GCUAAGAUAGCUCAGUCGGCAGAGCAUGAGAUUCUUAAUUUCAGGGUUUUGAGCCCCAUGUUGAGCG